UCUCUCCGUAGCCGACAUACGUAACCGCGCAGAUGACAAAAGAUACAUCGAGAAAGCCUUAUUAAGUUACAUGGAUAGUAUCUGAGUCUUUAAAUUUAUUGUUAUGAGAGAAUCAUGUGUCGUAUACGAAGAUAGCGUAUUUUUACGUGCCGCUAGAGCUGCGACAACUCUUUUAGUGCAAAUUUAUCGUGUAAUUUAAAGUGCGUUCCGGUACAUUAAACAAGCGGACUUUUGUUUCAACAACUGCCGCUUAAGGAAUUUCUCCUACUUGAUAUAGUCUUCUUAAUAAGUCUUUUUAAUAAGACUCAGAACAUAUUAUUUAUACUUCACGCAUAGUGCUCAAUUAUAUUGUGGAAAAACCACAAAAAAACACAUCAAGCAUGACCAUCUUCACACCACCAACUCCUUGGUGACAUGGAGCCAGUACAAAAUCCUGCUGGCUGUACAGAAAGGUACCAAUCAACAACUGCUCACUCUUUGCUCAUCUUUGCACACUAUUAUGUGGAAUUUGUGUUGUGGAAUACAAGGUGUACUAUUCCUUCCAGAGUGGAUUCGUGAUUGACAUCAAAUGGAAAAUACAUCUUAUGCUGGAUAUUGUACUGGGUACAUAUACUCUAAAAACACAAUGUAAUGUUCACCU